ensembl:snRNA U6 U6 spliceosomal RNA
GUGCUCACUUUGGCAGCAUAUUUACUAAAAUUGGAAUGAUGCAGAGAAGAUUAGCAUUGCCCCUGAGCAAGGAUAUCGUGCACAUUUGUGAAGCAUUCUAUAUUUUU